AAAACUCACUGUGGUAUUUAUAUCUCUAAAAAUAUUUAUGAACAAUAACCAUAAUUGCAACUCAGGGACUUAAGGCAGGGAAUCAUGAUUUUUUUUUUUCUCACUGGCCCAUUUAUCAUGAUUCCAAUAUUCAACAUCACAUUUAAUAGAUUGUUCCAAUUUUGAAAACCUAUAUGAAUGUCACCUGUGAAACAAAACUAGAAUAGUUUGUGUUAAUCUACCAAGGACAUUUUUUUAGUGUAACUAAUAAUACACAUUAUUUUUUUAUAAACGCCACAACAGAGAAAAAAAAAAGCCAACUCCCAAUUCUCUCUGUUUAAUUUAGGAAUUGCUCCUAGAAGCAAAACUGUGUGUCUGUGUCCACUCUCCUGGUGAUGGGCAUCCUCACAGCACAUUUGCAGUAAGUUUAUUGGGCAGUAAGAGAUCAGAUGCACAGUGCAAAGCCAUGGACCCAGUCCCACAACACAGAACUCCUGAGAUUUCUGAUAGCCAAACUCUUCCAUUGACACGAAUCAUUAAAACCCAAGUUAUGUCAAGAAACAGACACAAGGCUGCAGACUUUCUAUUUUCUCUGUUGUUUCCACUUCAGUUCUGGCUCCUGAGCUAUACACCUCAUAGUUUCUCUAAGUUGGAGGCAUUAGAGUCCACUGGAACUCUAACACUGUAUAAGUAUGCAGCACCAACACACUUUCUUGACAGUUUAGCCAUAACUUGGUGAGGCAGUGCUGGUAUGAUGGAAAUGGAUAGUGGAGAUUAUAAGUUGAGUAUAUCUUUUAGCAAGAAGUUGUUGCUUCCUGUUCCUAAAGUUGCCGUACAAACAGGAGUGGGGAGGGGCUUGUGUGCUCUCUUUAUACCCUAAGGUUCAAUGAAAUUUGGUUUGGUGACUCAGUAUGUAUACCAGGUAGCCUAGAAAUUGAAUGGUAAAGUUGAAGUAUGUAGUUGAGGACUUUAUAUAGAGCUGCUUUGGAGUUCUAUUAAGUAUGGAUUUUGCCUAUUUUCAUCAGAAUCUUUAAAACUGUAAUGAAGGAUUUCCAUAUUUAGAAUUUUUACCUUGUUUCCAUACGAAAGGAUGGAUCUAUUUAGUCUCUGUAUGUGUUAGAAGACAUUUUAAAUAUAAUGUGAUCAUUAUUGUUUACUAAACAGUUUGUAAUGUUCACUUCUUUCCGCAAACAAACUCC
rnacentral:lncRNA from 1 species